rnacentral:tRNA from 1 species
GAGGGUUUAAGAUAUAUAAUCUUUAUGUCUUUUAAACAUAAAAAGCUUGUGCAACUCUUU